GACGAACGCUGGCGGCGUGCUUAACACAUGCAAGUCGAACGGAAAGGCCCUGCUUUUGUGGGGUGCUCGAGUGGCGAACGGGUGAGUAACACGUGAGUAACCUGCCCUUGACUUUGGGAUAACUUCAGGAAACUGGGGCUAAUACCGGAUAGGAGCUCCUGCUGCAUGGUGGUGGUUGGAAAGUUUCGGCGGUUGGGGAUGUACUCGCUGCUUAUCAGCUUGUUGGUGGGGUAGUUGCUUACCAAGGCUUUGACGGGUAGCCGGCAUGAGAGGGUGACCGGCGAAAAUGGGACUGAGAUACGGAGCAGACGGCAACGGGAGGCAGGAGUGGGGAAUAUUGCACAAUGGGAGGAAGCGUGAUGAAGAAAAGCGGGGAGCGGGAUGACGGCCUUCGGGUUGUAAAAAGAAUUAGACUGUGAAGAAGAGUGAGUGACGGUAAUGGGUAAAGAAGCACCGGCUAACUACGUG
rnacentral:rRNA from 1 species